rnacentral:misc_RNA from 1 species
GAUGAAGAACGUAGCGAAAUGCGAUACUUGGUGUGAAUUGCAGAAUCCCGUGAACCAUCGAGUCUUUGAACGCAAGUUGCGCCCGAAGCCGUCAGGCCGAGGGCACGCCUGCCUGGGCGUCACACGCCGUUGCCCCCCCGCGCCCCGCACCCAACGCUUUGGGAGCGACCGCGGGGCGGGCUGAUGAUGGCCUCCCGUGCGCUCCGCCGCGCGGUUGGCCCAAAUACCGAGUCCCCGGCGGCGUGCGCCACGGCGAUCGGUGGUUGAGAGACCUCUGUCGCAAGUCGUGCGCGCCCGUCGCGUCACGCGGGCUCGCAUAGCGCCUCGCGCCGCACCCGGUGCGGAGCUUUCAACGCGACCCCAGGUCAGGCGGGGUUACCCGCUGAAUUUAAGCAUAUCAAUAAGCGGAGGA